AAAAGAUGAUAUUGUGUUCAUCUUUAGGAGAGUUCCUAUUUUCAUAGUGUUCUUUGUUUGGUUCCAGAUAUUGUUCCUCACUACAGCUUCUUUACCCUUCUUCUAAGGUGUUCUUACCAGCAGAUUUCAAAAACUAAAAUUUUCUGGUGUUUGAUCAUUGUCUUGUUGAUUGAAAACUUUUAGUGCUGGAC